AGACGGACGUCAACACAGAACACUGGCACGCGACGACGCUACAACAUCUUCUGUACUAACACGCUCAUCAAACGACCAUGAACCCUAUACGAGUUGACCGAGGUAGCUGCAGUGUCACCACAAGAACAAUUCGGAGCGUCUACAAAAGUUCUCUUGCUUUUUACCUGUUGAUGGAGAACUCGAUCGCAACAAUUCCUUUCCUACUCCAGUUCUACCGCGGUUAGUGGAUCCUUCCCACAGCAUUACAGUGAGUUUCCUAGUGUUAAACUACAAGAAAUUGGUCUCCAAAAAAACUGCUUUGUUAUUUCUUCUACCCCAUUUGUGGGUCAUGAGCUGUAUUGCAUUACAUUCUGUGCAAGUAAAGUCAAACUUGUACAUAUUGAAUAUCCAGUAUAUGUAACCAAUAAAGUUUUUCUAUUUAUGGAAUAAUCCAAA
rnacentral:lncRNA from 1 species